rnacentral:rRNA from 1 species
UACGUAGGGGGCAAGCGUUGUCCGGAUUUAUUGGGCGUAAAGAGCGUGUAGGCGGCCAGACAGGUCCGUUGUGAAAACUCGAGGCUCAACCUCGAGACGCCGAUGGAAACCGUCUGGCUAGAGUCCGGAAGAGGAGAGUGGAAUUCCUGGUGUAGCGGUGGAAUGCGCAGAUAUCAGGAGGAACACCAAUGGCGAAGGCAGCUCUCUGGUACGUGACUGACACUGAGACGCGAAAGCGUGGGGAGCGAACAGG